UGGUGUGUGUGAUGAUUGUUAGGUCAGGUGGCGUGGUUAAAGAGGAUGAUAGUGGUGUGAUUGUUAGGUCAGGUGGCGUGGUUAAAGAGGAUGAUAGUGGUGUGAUUGUUAGGUCAGGUGGCGUGGUUAAAGAGGAUGAUAGUGGUGUUAUGUUGUUAUGUGUGAUAAUUGUUAGGUCAGGUGGCGUGGUUAAAGAGGAUGAUAGUGGUGUUAUGUGGUGAUUGUUAGGUCAGGUGACGUGGUUAAAGAGGAUGAUAGUGGUGUUAUGUUGUUAUGUGUGAUGAUUGUUAGGUCAGGUGGCGUGGUUAAAGAGGAUGAUAGUGGUGUUAUGUUGUUAUGUGUGAUGAUUGUUAGGUCAGGUGGCGUGGUUAAAGAGGAUGAUAGUGGUGUUGUGUGAUGAUUGUUAGGUCAGGUGGCGUGGUUAAAGAGGAUGAUAGUGGUGUUAUGUUGUUAUGUGUGAUGAUUGUUAGGUCAGGUGA